rnacentral:rRNA from 1 species
GAGAAACGCUGGCGGCGCACAUAAGACAUGCAAGUCGAACGGAACUUAGUCGAAUGUUUACAUGAGACGAAAGUUUAGUGGCGGACGGGUGAGUAACACGUGAGCAACCUGCCUUUAAGAGGGGGAUAACAUUGAGAAAUCAGUGCUAAUACCGCAUAAAGCAUAUCAACCGCAUGAUUAGAUAUGCCAAAGGAGCAAUCCGCUUAAAGAUGGGCUCGCGGCUGAUUAGUUAGUUGGUGGGGUAACGGCCUACCAAGACGAUGAUCAGUAGCCGAGCUGAGAGGCACAACGGCCACAUUGGGACUGAGACACGGCCCAGACUCCUACGGGAGGCAGCAGUCGGGAAUAUUGCACAAUGGGGGAAACCCUGAUGCAGUGACGCCGCGUAUAGGAAGAAGGUCUUUGGAUUGUAAACUAUUGUCGACAGGGAAGAAAAAAAUGACAGUACCUAGUGGAGGAAGCCCCGGCAAACUACGUG